rnacentral:rRNA from 1 species
GUGUAGUUUAACUAGUAAAUUAAAGUCUAGGUAAGAAUUCUUCGAUUUCCUAGGGGACGAUAAGACCCUAGAAGCUUUAAAAAAGAAAAAUUUUUAGUAGUUGUAUUGUAUUUUUACUGGGGCGGUAUUAGUGUUUUAACUAUUAGUAAUAAAGAUUGAUCCUUAAUAUAAAGAUAAUUCGGUGAAGUUACUCUAGGGAUAACAGUGCGGUAUUUUUGGAGAGGCCUUAUUAAUAAAAAUGUUCGCAACCUCGAUGUUGAAUUAAGAUGUCUACAUGGGGUAGUAAAUAUAGUAGAGGGUUUGUUCAACCUUUAUAAUCUUACAUG